UUUUAUCGAUGGAUUGAUGGUAAAGAAAAGGAUUUAAAGGGGACGUGCUGUACCUGCACCGUUCUGGAAUUUUCUGAGUUUAAACGAUCUCCUUGGUCAGGUUUUUUUUUUCCUUGUUGUUCUGUCCUUUUCCAAAUUCGAUUGCUGUCCUCUGUCUGAUGUGACGAGAUGUUCCGGUACCUGCAUUCUGGAUUUGUCCCGGCCUUCCAGUUGUUCUGAGGAGGGUUUGGACUGGCGAGCCUCCCUUGAGUCUGUUCUUGGAUUUUCUGUGGAAACAAAAGACAAGUUUUUCUGAACCCUGCGAAUGGUAGGAAAUCAAAUAACUUUUCUUUUCUUUUUUUCCUCUUUCGGAUGAAGACGUUUUUUCCUCAUUGACAGAGAAAAGACAUUUAUAUCUCUCUACGGACUAUUUGAAGAACUGUUUUUCUUGAAAGACUGAGCAAUUGAGGGUUUUGAAAUCGAAGGACAUUAUUUUAUUUCAUUGAGAAGUGUUAAUUUUCUGUUGUGGUGACAGCUGUGAUACAUACAUUGGGUUUUUGAUACUUGAAUACUGAUUUAUCUAAAAAGAAAAAAAAGUUGACAAAGGUAACAUGAGUGUUCAUAUUCAACCUUUAUUUGGGUGAUUCAACUACUGAGUUAAAGUGAACGAACAAAGAACUUACCUUGUUGAAAAUUUAGGGAAAAGGUUCAUGAAACCUGCUAAAACAAAAGAGUGAUAACAUUUAGAAACAAGAAUUUAAUUUGUGAAAAUAUAUUUUUUUUCUUUCUGUUUCCAUUGAUUCACAUUGAUUCAACUUACCCGUUGAGUGCUGUUAAACCACAAAUACACGUUGUGUGUUCGACCAAACCAUUCGUUAUGUCUGUUCACUGUUGUUGUUGCAUCUUUCUCAGCAGCGAAUCUAGUCUUCUGAGACGCUGGUCCAUAGAUUGGCAUAUAACAAGUUACUAAUUAAUCUACAAGUUAUUAGCUAGAUAGUAAGCGCUACACAGUCGUUCGUGUAGAGGGAGAAGAGCAGUGGGGAGAGGACACAUCCCUGAGGGGUGCCAGUGCUGAUGGUGCUGGAUGAGAAUUUUCCCAGCUUUACUAGCUGCUGCCUAUCUGUCAGGAAGCUAGAGAUCCACUGACAGAUGGAGGUCCACAAACAGGAUCCUCACAUAAGUUCCUGGUCUGCCUAGAUGUUGCAAAACAAUGCAGUCCCAUAUUGACUGCAUCGUCCACAGACCUGUUUGCUCUAUAGGUAAACUGAAGAGAAUC